ensembl:lincRNA
UUCUGUGGAGACCAGCUAGUCACUUCUUUCUUUCACGUAAGAGGAUGAGUGAUGCUUAAAAUAUAGAAAAGCAGUAACUACUCUUCCAAAAGCCCCUGACAAACCACUUCCUCCUGUAAAAUACCUUUUCCUCCUCAAAAGAUCUAGUAGUCAAAAGAUUCAAUGAUUACUCAAUUAAUCCAUGUUCUUAAAAAACCCUCAGGGUCUUCUGUGGUCCCGCCGCUCCAUCCACUGUGUUAUAUAAAGCAGAAGUGUGUAAAAGCUUGCUAGCAGUCUUUUAAAUCCAUGACUCAAGAUGAUGAACACUAGUUUAGCAAUAAUCUUCAGAAACUACCACCUACUCACCGAGGAUAACAUGUCUCACAGUUAGCGACCUUCUGCAUAGGAAAUCACCAGCUACUGGCAAUGAAUCCAUAAUUCCAAGAACUCACUCAUGCAGGCAAAUAUAGGGACAUACGGCUCUAAGUAGAGGUAGAAAGAUCUGCUGUGACAGUUCUUUGGGAGAAGACUGGAAAUACUUUUGCUUUCUGUAUCGACAGUACUUUCUUUCUUUUUAAAGACAAGGUUUCAUUUUGAUCUUGAGAAAUUCUGUGUGAUUGAACCACCAACUGAAAACCUGCCAUUAUAAAUGAGGGAUUUCACAAUUCUCAUUCCCCAAAAAUGUGGCUAUUCAUUUUUGGAAGUGAUUCACUGCAAAAGAAUCAUUGUUGGGGGUGAAGGGAGCAUUAAUUUUUGGGAGACAGCCUGCUCUCUGAGAAGUGGGUAGAAACCUCACACACGGCCGCCAUGCGCCUUGCAGACCCCAGUGCAGCUCCCCACAUCAUCCUCCCUGGAGACUGUGAACAGUUUCCUCUUGUAGUUCCCUCAGGUGACGAAACCUCCUUGGUCUCCGCACCCUGCCUUGAGUCCCCUGCUCUGACGGCCAUUGUCAUAAAUUCAAAGGGCGGUAGCAGCAUUCUCCACCUGUCAGCACUCAGUGGCUGGUGAGUAACCAGCAUAUGGAGACCCACUUCCUGAAGCUUCCAAUCCCAUGGCAUCCCAAGUCCACCAUGCUCAGCUCUGAAGCCCUCUGUGCGGCCGGUGCCGUCUCACACGGCUUCCCAGGAAAAUGCCUCUCCCCCCGGGGGCCCAAUGCAGGGGGUUUACAGGGAAAAAGGAAAAGAAGAGCGAAACAAGAUCGUGAAAUAGAAACUCGGGGUGAAAUCACAGAGAACACGGACCUAACAUGCGGCAGCUGCAAAGACGCAGCCAUCCUCUAGGAAUGAAGGUCUGCUAAUUCGGGGGCCGCUUCUUUGCAUGUGAUGAAAAUCCAGGGACUCGGCAGGUUUUGCAGGCCUUUAGGGCUAUGCUGUAGAUAUUGUUCAAGUGCACAGAAGUCCACCCUCCCCAAACAAAAUAAAACCUUGAGAAAAUAUGUUUAACACCAGCUCAAAGAUUUCUUCUAAAAAAUAGAAAGGAGUGCACUAUUUUGUGGCAUGUCUAUAGCGAGGAGAAGGCACUGACUUUACUUCUGAAUGGCACCGGACUCAGGGAGGUCUGAAGGCCAGUGUACAGGUUCUGGCUCUUCCUUUUGCUGAUCUGCUCUUGUGCAGAUCACCCAACCUUCUUAAGACAGUUUAACCACCAGUGGUAACAGCAGCCCGACAUGCAGGGCUAGCUCAGCCAUUACUUCACAGUCGCAGCAAUCCUACAGGUAAGUUCUACUGUUAUCACCAUCCUACAGAUAAGGAAACGGAGGCCCAGGGAGCUUAAGGCCACUAGGUUUACACAGUCACUAGGUGGGGGAACCUGGACUCAAAGCCAGGGAGCUUGACCUUGACCAAUACGCUGCAGAGCCUGCCAUCAGCAUGCCUGCCAGUCACACUAAGUAACACCGCACUUAGCAAACUGCCUUAAGCUAUAGGAAAGGCAGAUUUUUAAACGUAUCAUAUAAUACAUUCACUUUCUGCAAAAUUUAAGGAAAAUUCAUGACAAGUAAGUACUAGUAACUCCAAAAUUACCCCAUUACUUUGUCCUCUAAGGAUAAUUUACAAACUAUUUAUUUGCAAAAUCUG